UACGUAGGCUGCAAGCGUUAUCCGGAAUUACUGGGCGUAAAGAGAUGCGUAGGCGUCUAAAUUAGUCUUUAAUUAAAGGCAGAAGCUCAACUUUUGUAAGGUUAAAGAAACGGUUUAGAUAGAGGAAGACAGGGGAAGAUGGAACUUCUGGUGGAGUAGUGAAAUGCGUUGAUAUCAGAAGGAACACCAAAGGCGAAGGCAAUCUUCUGGGUCUUUUCUGACGCUAAGGCUCGAAAGCGUGGGGAGCAAAACGGAUUAGAUACCCGUGUAGUCCACGCCGUAAACGAUGGAUGCUAGAUAUUUGUAUUUGUGGAUUUAUCUGUGAGUAUGAGUGUCGCAGCUAACGCAUUAAGCAUCCCGCCUGGGGAGUACGGUCGCAAGGCUAAAACUCAAAGGAAUUGACGGGGACCCGCACAAGCAGUGGAUCGCGGGGUUUAAUACGGUGAUAAACGUAAAACCUUACCAGGGUUUGACAUGUUAAAGAAUUUCGGCGAAAGUUGAAAGUGCCGCAAGGAGCUUUUUCACAGGUGAUGCAUGGCUGUCGUCAGCUCGUGUCGUGAGAUGUUGGGUUAAGUCCCGCAACGAGCGCAACCUUUAUCUGAUGUUAUAUAUUUCUUCAGAAACUGCAUCGUUUUAACGAUGAGGAAGGUGAAGAUGACGUCUAGUCGUCAUAUCCCUUAUGUCCUGGGCCACACACGCGAUACAAUGGAAAAGACAAUGAGUUGCAAGGUUGUAAAACUAAGCUAAUCUUAAAACUUUUUCUCAGUUCGGAUUGAGGGCUGCAAUUCGCCCUUAUGAAGUUGGAAUUGCUAGUAAUCGCAGAUCAGCAUGCUGCGGUGAAUACGUUCUCGGGUCU
rnacentral:rRNA from 1 species